rnacentral:rRNA from 1 species
AUGGUCUCGGUGAUCUUUGGCCCCAGGAGCACCAACCUCAACAAGGACAUGCUGGUGAAGCUGAAGGCGAUUUACACGCUCGUAGAACAACUUUACUCUGGAGCUCAGCAUGCCUUAUCCACAGUUGCCCUGUCAAAUGAAGUCCCCACGCUCCUUGUUGAUGUGCUAAAGAAGCUUUCUGUGCUGCCACAGCUGUUCAACAAAUUAAAGCGAUCCUCUGCGAGAGCCGGAGUCGUGGCUGCCUUAAGCCGGGCCAAAGCAUGGUUACCGGAAUUAGACCCAGCCGACAUCGCCAUUGGGUAUCCAAGCCUUAAGGAGGAUGGCACUUCAUUUGAACAGGAGGACUCCGCUGCUUGUGUGAAGGAAAUACGCCCUGUGGCCAGCUUGAUUGCCGAUGAGACAGACCUCAUCAAGUACCACCCGGCUUAUGACGCGGGAAAUCAGAGGAUGUCGAUGCCGCGUUUAUAA